rnacentral:misc_RNA from 1 species
UCUCCGUUGGUGAACCAGCGGAGGGAUCAUUACAGGGUCUGACGACUGCCCGAACCAACCCACCGUGAACGCUACGAGACACUCUCCUUCCGCUGCGGCGGGCCGCCCGCUGGGGGGGCCGCGGGGGGCCCCCAGGGGCUCCCGACCCGCCGAAGCGACAGCCCGCAAGGGACGAAGCCUUCUGAAGCUCUUCUGAGUGGCGCCGAUCGACCCUCGUGCGAGGGCGAGAUCACAACCCACAGCAAUGGAUCUCUUGGCUCCG